GUGCAAUCUGUUGACAUGAUAAAACCAUGUUUAUUGUGGUAAGGCAGAUAGAUGAUCACCUAGACAGAGUUUGGGUAAUGUCUUCUAGGGGAAAAGGCAAGGUUAGAUUUUAUUGCAAAUUGAAAGUUUGGUUUAAAGUUGCCUUCCAAUGAGGAGUCUUGAUUGGGUAAGGAUAAUGAUACAACAGUUUAGGAUUAUAAACAGUAUGAGAAGGAUUUUGAGUUGAGGGAUUUGAAGAUCUUUAGGGUGUUAACUAUCUGCUGGUGCUUCUUAUUGGAGAAGUGAAGGGUCUUUUUGAGACAUUCCUAUAAUGAACAAAUUAUCUGCCUGGACAAAAAUCUCCUGGAUUAGUAAAGGCAUGAUAAUAAAGACAGUGGGGUAACAAUUGAAAUUCUAUUAGUGUAUUGUAGAAAGUAAGGAGUGUGUGGGGCAGCUGGGUGGCCCAUUUAGUUAAUCAUCUGACUCUUGAUUUCAGCUCAGGUCAUGAUCUCAGGGUUGUGAGAUCAAGCCCUGUAUUAGGCUCUGGGCUGGGGGUGGAGCCUUGGAACCUCCUUAAGAUUCUCUCCCUCUCUCUCUCUCUCUCUAAAAAUAGUAAGUAGUAAGUAAGUAAUAUGUGUGUGCAUGUGUAUGUGUUUGGGAGAGAAGGAGGGUUAGAUAGUUCCAGUCUUCAGUUCUCAGUUUCCAAGCUAUGUACAUGAGAUAGUUUCUAUUCUCACUCUUCAUUCUUGAACUUAUUGCAUUGAUAUUGAGUACUCAUCUAUUUUAUUUAAAUAUUUCCUCCAGCCAGACUGCAACAGGACAUAAACCUGAGGAUGUUUUUUUGUGUGGGAUUCUACAACUUCAUCAUUGUUGAGUUACUAUUCUGUGCCAAGAUCCCCACCUUCUUCCCCCUCCUUCCCAAAUACACCUUUGAAUGUGUAUUGUGUCAAUGCACAGAGAUGAACCUCACAUCACUCAGAGCUGAAACACUUCAUCUGGAGACAUGUUGACAGAAAUGGCAUCUAUUCCUUUGUUGGAUUUUAGCAUACUUUGCAGCAAGGAUAGAGGACAACUUUGCAGUGAUGAGGCCUUGAUAAAAUCCUUGUUCUGGAGUUUGUUCAAAGUUCAUGGGAACAGCAUCACAAUGUAUUAUGCUUGCCAAAAUUGCUUACGUGGAAUUGAAUCACAAGGAAACAAUCAGAUUAACUCAGUAUAUGGUAUGUUCUACAAGACAGCUACCCUGGAUUCUUCAAAAAACUUGGAAAACAACAAAACAAAAAGGUCCUGCAGGGCUGGAGGUAUGUAAAUUUAGAUUAAAAAGACUAAAUAUACAUGAUAAACGAAUGCAAUGUGUGAACCUUGAAUAAGUAUGAGAGGGAGCCCUCCCUCUCAAAAAAAAAAAAGAAAAGAAAAGAAAAAGAAAAAAGCUUAACUAUAAAACAUAUUAUGGGACAAUUAGGGAUAUUUGAUUGUGGACUAUGAAUUAUAUAUUAUUGAAUUUAUGAUAAAUUUCUUGGGUAUGACAAUGGUACUAUGGCUAUGUAGGAGAAUAUUCAUUUUUUUUAGGCAAUACAGUGUAAAUAUUUAGGGGCGAGGUAUUAUCAUUUCUGCAGCUUCCUUUCAAAUGGUUCAGUAAAAAGUAUGUAAAUGAGUACAUCUGUAAGUAUAUAGGUGUAUAGAGAAAUAAAAUAUUCUUUGGAAUAUUUAGAACA
ensembl:lncRNA